GCCCAGAUGGCGGAAUUGGUAGACGCGCUAGCUUCAGGUGUUAGUAUUCGUAAGGAUGUGGAGGUUCGAGUCCUCUUCUGGGCACCA
rnacentral:tRNA from 1 species